AAGCGACACCACCCUUUUUGCGUAACCGCUAUUCACAUACUCUGGUUCUCAUUGCAGGGGCUCUCAAUCCCAUGCACUCUCUCCACUCAUCAAAAUCACUGCCUCAGCUAAACAAGAUCACUAACCCGGGGCCAGACCUUCCAAUGCAAUCACACUGCAACAUACACGAUCCGCAAUCUCAAACUGAUCCAGCAAUACCAACAGAGUCUCCAGCAUGACUGGACCGACUCUCAUAACACAUACUAGCCACUCGAGGCUAUAUCUCUGUGGGUCCGUACACCCAAACUCUGCGAACCCUCAGGUUCUAACUCUGGGAACCUUCCGGUUCCAGCUCUAGAAACAUGCACAACAUAAUCCCGUGGGAUUAAUGCAGUACAACCCAUCACGUACCUCAAACAUACCAAUACUCUGAUCGCAUAACCCCGGUUACUUACUCAAGCUUGAUCCCGGCCUUCUCUCAGGCCUCCACAAUCAAAUGCCCUAGGUCUGUAUCCCGCCCCGCAUACCCGACACUCGCUCUCGUCGGCCUAUACUCUGCGCUGACAAACACUGCUGAAUCCCAACAGCUAAGCACCCUCACAUACUCAUCGAUCUCCCGGAGAAUUCUCCAAUUCUCCCCCACUUAAAACACUGACUCACAGCCACCGAUCGCCAUUAACGACCUUCCAGAACAACCCCGCACAGAGAGAACACUUACACACUGACUGCUUCCCUCAAGCAUAAGCAACCCUCAGCAAAACACAUCUCCUCCCUGAUCAAUCCGCUCAAAAGAAUCCGGUCUUUCAAUUAUCCACUCCACGACUGCAGAUGCUACCCGACAUUCAACCCAGUGCCGCAUCUCCACCAUCAACCCUCACGAACGAUAACCAACGGAAUUCCCAAACACUAACCCAUAACCAAACCCACAACCUAAAAAAAGGAUGAAUACCGUAUCGAAAACCGCACAAGGAUACCGGCACCAAGACACCAACUAUAACCAUACCAACCAUCAGGGAACAACGAAUGCCAAAGCAAAAACCAGAAACACCAUUCCUUAACCAUGCCAAACCCGCGAAACAACGAAUACCGCAUCGAANCUGCGGGUCUGUACACCCAACUCUACGAACCCUCAGGUUCUAACUCCGGGAACCUUUCGGUUCCAGCUCUAGAAACAUGCACAACAUAAUCCCGUGGGAUUAAUGCAGUACAACCCAUCACGUACCUCAAACAUACCAAUACUCUGAUCGCAUAACCCCGGUUACUUACUCAAGCUUGAUCCCGGCCUUCUCUCAGGCCUCCACAAUCAAAUGCCCUAGGUCUGUAUCCCGCCCCGCAUACCCGACACUCGCUCUCGUCGGCCUAUACUCUGCGCUGACAAACACUGCUGAAUCCCAACAGCUAAGCACCCUCACAUACUCAUCGAUCUCCCGGAGAAUUCUCCAAUUCUCCCCCACUAAAGCACUGACUAACUGCCACCGAUCGUCAUUAACGACCUUUCAGAACAAUCCUGCACAAAGAGAACAUUUACCCACUGACUGCUUCCCACAAGCAUAAGCAACCCUCAGCAAAACACAUCUCCUCCCUGAUCAAUCCGCUCAAAAGAAUCCGGUCUUUCAAUUAUCCACUCCACGACUGCAGAUGCUACCCGACAUUCAACCCAGUGCCGCAUCUCCACUAUCAACCCUCACGAACGAUAACCAACGGAAUUCCCAAGCAAUAACCCAUAACCAAACCCACAACCUGAAAAAGGAUGAAUACCGCAUCGAAAACCGCACAAGGAUACCGGCACCAAAACACCAACUAUAACCAUACCAACCAUCAGGGAACAACGAAUGCCAAAGCAAAAACCUGAAACACCAUUCCUUAACCAUGCCAAACCCGCGAAACAACGAAUACCGCAUCGAAAUCCACACAAGAUACCAGCACAAACAAUACGCCACAAUCAACGCAAGACAAUCAAGACAUCAAG
rnacentral:lncRNA from 1 species